UUUUACUAUAUACUAACAAUGUUUUAACGUACAAAACAAAUUUGUAAUGCGAGAAAAAUACGAAAAGUUUUUGCAUUAUUUUUCAAUUCUUGAAUGAGACGAUGCUGGAUUCGCGCUCGACGUUUUUGAUGGCGUUUCAAAUGACGAAUUUCCAAUCUCAUACACCCUUUUCAUAAAUGGCUGCCGAUUAAAAAUUCUUUUAUGUGCAUAUAAAUUGGCCCAACUAGCCUCGUACUCAUGUUAAGAUUUCAAAGGAAUUUCUACCCAGAAACGAGGCUAGUUGGGCCAAUUUGUAUGCACAUAAAAGAAUUUUUAAUCGGCAGCCAUUUAUGAAAAGGGUGUAUU